rnacentral:rRNA from 1 species
UACGUAGGGUGCGAGCGUUAAUCGGAAUUACUGGGCGUAAAGCGUGCGCAGGCGGCUUCUCAAGUCAGGGGUGAAAGCCCAGAGCUCAACUCUGGAAUUGCCUUUGAGACUGAGUGGCUUGAGUACGAGAGAGGUGAGUGGAAUUCCCAGUGUAGAGGUGAAACUCGUAGAUAUUGGGAAGAACACCGGUGGCGAAGGCGGCUCACUGGCUCGUAACUGACGCUCAUGCACGACAGCGUGGGGAUCAAACAGG